CCUACGGGAGGCAGCAGUGGGGGAUAUUGCACAAUGGGGGAAACCCUGAUGCAGCGACGCCGCGUGUGGGAAGACGGUCCUCUGGAUUGUAAACCACUGUCCCCAGGGACGAAGAUGACGGUACCUGGGGAGGAAGCUCCGGCUAACUACGUGCCAGCAGCCGCGGUAAUACGGAGGGAGCGAGCGUUGUCCGGAGUUACUGGGUGUAAAGGGAGCGUAGGCGGGGAUGCAAGUUGGGUGUCAAAACUACCGGCUCAACUGGUAGUCGCACUCAAAACUGCAGCUCUUGAGUGAAGUAGAGGCAGGCGGAAUUCCUAGGGUAGCGGUGAAAGGCGUAGAUAUUAGGAGGAACACCAGUGGCGAAGGCGGCCUGCUGGGCUUUUACUGACGCUGAGGCUCGAAAGUGUGGGGAGCAAACAGGAUUAAAUACCCCUGUAGUC
rnacentral:rRNA from 1 species